rnacentral:rRNA from 1 species
AGUAAUCUACCUUUGAGUGGGGAAUAACGUCCGGAAACGGACGCUAAUACCGCAUAAUGCAGCGGCAUCGCAAGAUGACAGUUGUUAAAGAUUUAUCGCUUGAAGAGGAGCUUGCGGCAGAUUAGCUAGUUGGUAAGGUAAUGGCUUACCAAGGCUACGAUCUGUAACCGGUCUAAGAGGACGGUCGGUCACACUGACACUGAAUAACGGGUCAGACUCCUACGGGAGGCAGCAGUCGGGAAUUUUGGGCAAUGGGCGAAAGCCUGACCCAGCAACGCCGCGUGAAGGAUGAAGUAUUUCGGUAUGUAAACUUCGAAAGAAUAGGAAGAAUAAAUGACGGUACUAUUUGUAAGGUCCGGCUAACUACGUGCCAGCAGCCGCGGUAAUACGUAGGGACCAAGCGUUGUUCGGAUUUACUGGGCGUAAAGGGCGCGUAGGCGGCUUGACAAGUCACUUGUGAAAUCUCCGGGCUUAACUCGGAACGGCCAAGUGAAACUGUCAUGCUAGAGUGCAGAAGGGGCAAUCGGAAUUCUUGGUGUAGCGGUGAAAUGCGUAGAUAUCAAGAGGAACACCUGAGGUGAAGACGGGUUGCUGGGCUGACACUGGACCUGAGGCGCGAAAGCCAGGGGAGCAAACGGGAUUAGAUACCCUGGUAGCC